rnacentral:rRNA from 1 species
GGGAACCUGAGAAACGGCUACCACAUCCAAGGAUGGCAGCAGGCGCGCAAAUUACCCAAUCCCGACACGGGGAGGUAGUGACAAUAAAUAACAAUACGGGGUUUUUUAGGAUCUCGUAAUUGGAAUGAGUACAAUUUAAAUCUCUUAACGAGGGACAAUUGGAGGGCAAGUCUGGUGCCAGCAGCCGCGGUAAUUCCAGCUCCAAUAGCGUAUAUUAAAGUUGUUGCAGUUAAAAAGCUCGUAGUUGAAUUUCGGGGUUAGUAGGUUGGUCAUGCCUCUGGUAUGUACUGGUCUCACUGAUUCCUCCUUCCUUAUGAACCGUAAUGCCAUUAAUUUGGUGUUGCGGGGAAUUUGGACUGUUACUUUGAAAAAAUUAGAGUGUUUAAAGCAAGCUAACGCUUGAAUACAUUAGCAUGGAACAAUGAAAUAGGACGUUCGAUCUUAUUUUGUUGGUUUCUAGGAUUGACGUAAUGAUUAAUAGGGAUAGUUGGGGGCAUUAGUAUUCAAUUGUCAGAGGUGAAAUUCUUGGAUUUAUUGAAGACUAACUACUGCGAAAGCAUUUGCCAAGGAUGUUUUCAUUAAUCAAGAACGAAAGUUAGGGGAUCGAAGACGAUCAGAUACCGUCGUAGUCUUAACCAUAAACUAUGCCGACUAGGGAUCGGAUGAUGUUAAUCUUUUAAUGACUCAUUCGGCGCCUUACGGGAA